UACGAAGGGGGCUAGCGUUGCUCGGAAUCACUGGGCGUAAAGCGCACGUAGGCGGAUUGUUAAGUCGGGGGUGAAAUCCUGGAGCUCAACUCCAGAACUGCCUUCGAUACUGGCGAUCUUGAGUCCGGGAGAGGUGAGUGGAACUCCGAGUGUAGAGGUGAAAUUCGUAGAUAUUCGGAAGGAACACCAGUGGCGAAGGCGGCUCACUGGCCCGGUACUGACGCUGAGGUGCGAAAGCGUGGGGAGCAAACAGG
rnacentral:rRNA from 1 species